rnacentral:ncRNA from 1 species
AAGAGAGUCGAAGAAUCGAAAGAAGAAGAUGAAGCAGCAGGGUGCAUUUAAUGUUUACGGAAGGAUAAUAAACCACAGAGGAAUUAAAAGUUCCUUAUCCUCGAAAUGGCUUGAGAGGAGAUAGUAUUAGGAUAACAAUGCGUCGUGAAGCUUAAUAAGCGCUCAUCUGUAAUUCCCGGGAAUGAGUACAUUCCGUCGUGUACGGGGCGAAGAGGUGAUUCAAGAGAAUCAACGUACACCUACA